rnacentral:rRNA from 1 species
ACGGGAGGCAGCAGUGGGGAAUAUUGCGCAAUGGGCUCAAGCCUGAUGCAGCGAUGCCGCGUGAGGGAAGAAGGUUUUCGGAUUGUAAACCUCUGUCACCGGGGACGAUAAUGACUGUACCCGAGAAGGAGGCUCCGGCUAACUACGUGCCAGCAGCCGCGGUAAUACGUAGGGAGCGAGCGUUAUCCGGAAUUACUGGGUGUAAAGGGAGUGUAGGCGGGACUGUAAGUCAGAUGUGAAAUAUACCGGCUCAACUGGUAGGCUGCAUUUGAAACUGCGGUUCUUGAGUGAAGUAGAGGUAAGCGGAAUUCCUAGUGUAGCGGUGAAAUGCGUAGAUAUUAGGAGGAACAUCAGUGGCGAAGGCGGCUUACUGGGCUUUAACUGACGCUGAGGCUCGAAAGCGUGGGGAGCAAACAGGAUUAGAUACCCUGGUA